rnacentral:lncRNA from 1 species
AUGGAACAAAGUCCCGGUGCGGUGCUCGGUGGCCAGGCAGGGAAUGGCUCCAGCUGGCUGCUUCCCAGGGCUGUGAGGGACCCCAAAACAGCCAGGGGGAUCCAAACCCUGCAGUCAGAGCCGGGUGCUCACCCUGAGCCCAGGCCCUGUGUCACCACAGGGCCGCAUCCAAGCCCACGCACGUCUCCCUCUAAGCUGAGCAUUAGGAAUGUUUCCUCUGCCUUUGCCAAGCGCGAGCAGCCGAUGGCAAAGCCGGGUGCAAACCGCUCGCCUCCACUUCCCCUCGGUGCAGCCCCACAGCGGGGGGGACCUCGGUGCCCAAGGGCUGGGCGAUGCGAGGCACAGACCAGCCCUGCCACAGGGGUGAGCCUUUCUCCGGGAGCCUGGAGCUGGGGCAGGCAGCUGGGCCCCUCUCCAACCCCUCACACCCUGCAGGGACCCGCUCUGGGUUUGCCAGCCGAGCCCACGGGCAUCCCACAGAACCCCUUCUUGUGCCUUCCCCUCCCGAGGCAGCAGCACGCCCUGCUGAACAGCAGGAACACACGAGCUCGGUACCACCUGCGGACAAGCCAGGACUUCUCCUGGCAGCUGGAGACAGACAGACAGACGGACGGACUUUCUCUGCGGUGUUAUUCAAGCACUGGCAGGAAGUCCUGGCCAAUUUACACCAGCAACUCGCAUCAAUAUAAAUUACAUGAAGCGAUCAAGAAACGCGGUUUGUUUAGGUGUAAGCCCCUGGAGCAGACCCAGACACACGUGCUGGAUGUGCGGGGUGGGAUCCACAAUGUACAAACCUUCAGCAGGCAAAGAAAGUUCUUUCUUCCAUGGGUUUCUGCAUUUCAGCCUCCUUCCCGCAGAGCUGAAGCCCGGUGCGGAGGGCACAGCACCCCUGUAGAUAGGGACGAGGGGCAGAAGCCACCUUUGAAGGCAGACGGGGUGCUCCUGGGAUCCCAGCCUCACGUUUUGGGGUCCCGCACUGCAGGACACAGCCUCUGCAGGGCGGUACCUUCCUGGCAUGGGGCAACACUGGCUGCCAGGAACAAGUUCAGCCACCCCACGGAUUCAGGAGGAAGCAGGCUGUUACUGUCAGUGCGCUGA